rnacentral:rRNA from 1 species
UACGUAGGGGGCAAGCGUUGUCCGGAUUUAUUGGGCGUAAAGAGCUCGUAGGCGGUUCGUCGCGUCGGCUGUGAAAACCCGGAGCUCAACUCCGGGCCUGCAGUCGAUACGGGCGGACUUGAGUUCGGCAGGGGAGACUGGAAUUCCUGGUGUAGCGGUGAAAUGCGCAGAUAUCAGGAGGAACACCGGUGGCGAAGGCGGGUCUCUGGGCCGAUACUGACGCUGAGGAGCGAAAGCGUGGGGAGCGAACAGG